AAUUUCCUUAUAUGAACUGUAACUUAGUAACAUCUUAAAUGGUUGCAUUUAGAUUUUUAUUCCGUGUAUUUCUCCUUUAUACAGUAUUUGUAAUGCGAGGAAAACUGAGGGGCGGGGUUUAGGAUUUGAGUGUCAGUUUUUCCCGGGAUCUUCGUAAAAGCUAUGCCAGAGAUAUUAGAGCAAGGAUGAGCUUGGAGGAGAUUGUUAACGAUCUAUUUCACUUGCGUUGUGCAAUGUAGACAUGUUUUCCACGGCAAUAAAAGCCUUUGAAUUGAAUUUAUAGGAAGUCUAUUAGGCAAUGAAUGAUUGAAAUAUAACGGACAGACUGUCGACCAAUCGGGUUCGUUAUCCCGCUGCCCCGCGGUUGUUAAACUACUCUUCACGCAAAUCCCUUCUCAAAGUCAAGGUAUUAGUCGAAAAACGUGCCUAUUUUCCUCGAAAGUACGUAAUGUCACCAUUCCAGAGCUAUACAAUAUUACAAACAGCAAGACUAAUUAUCUCACAUCUUGGAAAAUAUUUUGUAAUGUUGUACUUCUUGUUGACGAAAUUUCUGUUAAUGUUAUGUUUUUGAGCUUUUGAAGAAGAGGCCUUGAAGGAGACAGCUCCUCGGUCCCAGAAUGCACCGCGUAGCUCAGUGGCGUUUCCCAUCUCCUCAAAAUUAUCUCUGACGAUGGGAGAGUUAAAAAAAAAAUGGCGUCGGACGGUGGAGACCGUGGUGCUUGCAAAAAAAUCCACGGGACCCGUACAACGACCGACGGACAACACCCGGGACAUUAGCGUUUACUGAUGAUUUAUGGCGGCUUGGAUGUCUUUCAUCUUUCUCUCCAGCUUCUAGACUAGAUCUUCUGAACGUGUACAUCGUUUGACAAAGAUGCAAACUAAAUGAGUGCCAGACUGCCAGGUGUGGGGGGAACUGUCCUGCAGACCACAGGUCUCCCAUGACAGACUGCCAGGUGUGGGGGGAACUGUCCUGUGGACCACAGGUCUCCCAUGACAGACUGCCAGGUGUGGGGGAACUGUCCUGUGGACCACAGGUCUCCCAUGCCAGACUGCCAGGUGUGGGGGGAACUGUCCUGCGGACCACAGGCCUCCCAUGCCAGACUGCCAGGUGUGGGGGGAACUGUCCUGUGGACCACAGGUCUCCCAUGACAGACUGCCAGGUGUGGGGGAACUGUCCGUGUGAGACAAGUCUGGAUUUAGGCCACCAUCACCCAACUGUCAAGCUCCACAGCUGUUGAAACCAGAGAUGGAUCAAAGUCUGUCAUCAUCAAUGGAUCAAGAUAUCAACCUCUGCCACUCUUCACUAAAGAGAGGAUGUGUGGGUUACAGGAGAGACUGGCUACCACAGAUACAGCCCCAGGCCGGGUCCGUCUCUCUCCUCACCUAGCUGUCCGUCUGUCUCUCUCCUCACCUAGCUGUCCGUCUGUCUCUCUCCUCACCUAGCUGUCCGUCUGUCUCUCUCCUCACCUAGCUGUCCGUCUGUCUCUCUCCUCACCUAGCUGUCCGUCCGUCUCUCUCCUCACCUAGCUGUCCGUCCGUCUCUCUCCUCACCUAGCUGUCCGUCCGUCUCUCUCCUCACCUAGCUGUCCGUCCGUCUCUCUCCUCACCUAGCUGUCCGUCCGUCUCUCUCCUCACCUAGCUGUCCGUCCGUCUCUCUCCUCACCUAGCUGUCCGUCCGUCUCUCUCCUCACCUAGCUGUCCGUCCGUCUCUCUCCUCACCUAGCUGUCCGUCCGUCUCUCUCCUCACCUAGCUGUCCGUCCGUCUCUCUCCUCACCUAGCUGUCCGUCCGUCUCUCUCCUCACCUAGCUGUCCGUCCGUCUCUCUCCUCACCUAGCUGUCCGUCCGUCUCUCUCCUCACCUAGCUGUCCGUCCGUCUCUCUCCUCACCUAGCUGUCCGUCCGUCUCUCUCCUCACCUAGCUGUCCGUCCGUCUCUCUCCUCACCUAGCUGUCCGUCUGUCUCUCUCCUCUCCUUAUAGCCAAUAAUGAUGAUAACUGUAGAUCAGGGCCCGUAUCUACAAAGCGUCUCAAAGUAGGAGGGCUGAUCUAGCAUCAGUUUGACUUUUCAGUUUGAUCAUAAUGAAUCAUAAUGUAUAGACAGAUCCUAGAUCAGAUUGAAUCAGAUUUUAUAGACAGAUCCUAGAUCAGAUUGAAUAGACAGAUCCUAGAUCAGAAUGAAUCAGAUUGUAUAGACAGAUCCUAGAUCAGAUUGAAUAGACAGAUCCUAGAUCAGAAUGAAUCAGAUUGUAUAGACAGGUCCUAGAUCAGCAUUCUUACUCUCCACCACUCCUUGUAGUUUGAGCCUAUUUAUUUCAUAACUAGGGGUCAAACAGGAAUUGUGUAGUCUUUACCGCCCAAUUUGACCUCUACUCUUCUGUGGUCUGAACCAAGGCAAUUCACCAUUUUUAUAAUCAAUUUAUCUAGGUAUAGAUCUAGAUGUACUGGGAUCAGUGGUUUGUUGUUUUUCCUGAAUGCCCUUAUCCCCAACCCUUUACAAAUAUAGUAAAACUUUCAGUAGACAUUGUAGCAAGGAUCUGGUGUAGAUAACGGAUGUGAAACGGCUAGCUUAGUUAGCGGUGGUACUGAUGUAACGGAUGUGAAACGGCUAGCUUAGUUAGCGGUGGUACUGAUGUAACGGAUGUGAAACGGCUAGCUUAG